UUGCCAGUUAUGAGUGAGUGCCACGUUGCUUUGACAGUGUUGAAGUUUUGAGUCAACAUUCCAACAUCCUUGCCAAGAGAGUAAAUAUUAUUCCCAGGUAAAAAUGUAUAAAUAGUUUAUAUAUAGUGAGCAAAUCACUGAUAUUUUUCAUUUGCUUUAUAUAGAAACAUUUAUAAAACAAUGAAAAUAUAUCAUUGCCUUGUCCUCUAUAUAUAAACCAGUUGUAUCCUAUAUAUAACCUUUUUACCUGGGAUGUUUACCAAAAAAUUUGACAUCAGAACCCUUGACAAAACAAGAUGUUCUCCACAUGAGCACUGACAGAAGUUUUUUGUUGCCUUGGUGCUAGAUCAUCUCGAAGAGGGGUCGGGACCCCAUUACCCUUCUCAUUUCCUAUCCUUUGGAGGGGCAGCUCUCUCUGUAAUGUACAAAAUAACCGCACCUGGGACACUCCUUUGGUCUCGUGUAUUCCUUCGACGGAGCCAGGUGCAUAAGAGGCUGAAUCGUAUAGCUGUGUGUAUGAUAAAUCCAUUAUUCAAAGGCUGAUACCUCGAUACCUUCCCUUGUCAGAGACGCCUCCAUAAACCCCAGGCAUCCCCAAUUCAAUGUAUUGUUUUAGAGGGUGGAUUAAUAAGUACCUGUAUUAUGAUUGAAGACGUAAGUUUUUGAGGACAGCUUUUGUCAUAUUUCAACGUAAUCUCCUUUCAUGGGGAUACACUUUUCUCAAAGUUCUAGCCGUUUCUUCAAACACUCUAAAAAUAUUAUUGAUUAAAUUCGUAAAAAUAGACUUCUGUGUCGAUAAUGAUCUCUUCGUUUAAGCUGAUCUUUUUCCCACAAGCCACGUUUUCAUGUUGGGGAACCUAAAAAAGUCGCAAGAAGCCAGGUCCGGCCAGUAUGGUGGAAGUGGUAACAAAUCGUAGCGAAAUUCAUGCAAUUUUACCGCGACGAUUCCGGACGUGUAGGCUAGUGCAUCAUCAUGAUGGUAGUGCAUCCUUUCUCCACAAUGUCUAUGAGAAUUAGUCCACUCGAAUCCCAAAAAGUCGUAGCCAUGACAUUCCCGGCUGACAGAACCGUCUUUGCCUUCUUUGCUGCAGAUUCGCCUAGAAAAAUCUAUUGUUUUGAUUAUCGUUUCGUCUCUGGCGUAUAAUAAUUAAUCCAGGUUUCACCAGCGGUGAUGAUUCGAUAAAAAAAAAUCCUGUGGUUUUUGCUGAAAGGUCCACAUUCUGCUUCGAAGUUGGCAUCCGUAUCGGCUUGUUGUUCACGGUGAUCCAUCGCGACAGCACACUUUCGUUCGGCGAUCAGCAAGAAUCAUAUCAUAGAACUUUUCUACGAUUUCCGCAGUAACCACGUCUUCUGGGCGGCCUGGGCGCUCCGCACGUACAACCACGUUUAAAUUCUUUAAACCACUAUUUCACGGUUGUCAAAGAUAGUGAAAGGUCCUCAUAAACAUUAUCUAAUUUAGCUUUUAUUUCGUAACACUUUUUUUCCAUCAAAAAAUUAGAAGCGAAUUAUGGAUCGAAAUUGUUAUUUCACUAAAACGGAACACCAAACACGUUUGAUAUAAAUCGCUGUCAAAUCAAAACUGAUUCAUGAAUUAAUCUGUGCUUCUGUGUUUCGUAAUUUAGAAGAUAAUCUUUAACAAGGUUAAUGUCUUUAAACAUGAGUACUUAUUGAUCCACCCUCUAUACUGGAUUUAUGUGUGCAUCUUUAUUAUAUUUAUUACAAAUAUGAUGCUAUUCACGUCAAUAUUGAUCGGCGAAAUGACAUUGAUCAUGGCGUCCAUUAAGAAAAAAAAGCAGUAUCAUUGAAAGUUUAACUUUUAACGAUUUUUGUUUUUUCUUUUAUUAAAUUCAUGCUAAUUGAUGUAUUACCAAAAAAUUAUAUCUCUUUAUGUGAGAAAAUAAAAUAAGAAACGAGCGCGUUUAAUUUUAAUGUAAAGGGAGCGUUGAUACGGCAGCUAUCCUUCCUAAACAUUCAAAACCUUCUGUUUUUGUAUAAAUGAAAAAAAUGCGACUGUACCGUUGUCAAGAAUAAGGAAACUACCCACGAUGAAGACUUGUGGAAUUCAAUAAGAUUUUAUUGUACAUAUAUUUAUAAAUAAUAAACUUGAAAAUGCAACUAGUGAUUAAAGAAUACUAAUUACCUUAUUUAAUGCAUCUCUUAGUGUAAAAGUUAAAUGUUUUUAGUACGAGUUGCUCUUUCAAUUUUGGAUCCAUGAAUACUGAUUAUUGUAAACAAAAACAGAAGGGUUAUAAUAUUUACUGCUUUUUCUGUUAGAUUGGAAAAAUAUUUUUUGGAACUAGGACCUCAAAAUAUAUUUUUAAAUACAUUCAAAAAUUAUUUAAUGCAAUAAAAUAUUUUUUCAUAUCCAGAAAAUUAGUUUUGCAUAGAUCUUCCGAUAAUUAACAAAAAAAUUAUGUAUUCUUGUUUCACAAUAUAGAAAUUCAAAACUUUUUACGUUCUACAAUGUGAAAACUUAAUCUCAACAUACUUGUAACUUGUUUUGAAUUCCUAAAUUGUGAUUGCAAUAUAAAAAUUAGUGUUAGCUAGCCCCGGACUUGUAGAGAUAAAACUUAAAAUCAAAUACAGUUCAACAAAUUAAUUAAGUUGUAGAAACUUUUAUUUUCCCUAAUAGUUAAUAUAAGAUUAAAGGAUUCUUAUGCGAAAAAUCUCUAAACCUUCUGUUUAACUUCAUAAUGUUUUUAUAAUAUAUUUCAGUGUCGAAGAAUGAAUUCAUAUAUAUGCGCCAAAGUAGCAAUAGUUAAGAAGAAAAAGUUUCAUAAAAGCAAGAUUGUAGGGAAAAUAAAUUGUAAUAGCAUUAAUUCAGGGGAAAAAUAUUAUAAUGUCAAUAGUUACGACGAAAAUGUUCUUAUUCAUUUUAAAUAUUGAAAUCGUAAUUAAACGUAUUUUUGGCAGUCAUUUUCCACCACUUUUGCCAUUUGUGAUAAAUUAUUCAAAGCGAACACCUUUCCUUUAUAUGAACCUGAAUUUGCUAUUCAAAUUCCUCAUAAGCAGACAUUUAUGCACCAAAAAUCAUAUCACAGAAUCCAGAAAUCAAAAUAGAAUAGCCAUUGGCUUCCUCUAUUGCAAAAAAUUGAGGUCAAUUUUUGACUUAAACAUGUCCUAAAAAUGCAUUAAUUAGGUCUAUAAUUGUCAUUAACGGCAAUUGAAAAGGACCGUAAAAAAAUUUGGUUUCUGUUCUUUCUGUGUGUAAAAUAAAAGCAUAAUAAAAUGAUACGAGUGUAUCUCGUGGUGUGGUCUCAGAAUGAUAGCAUGAGGGAUUAAUUUUCCAAUCCUCAGAUCCUUCUGGUGUUUGAUAUUCGUUUAUUCUUAUGGUAAAACAGAGUAUACAAAAAUUUGGUAUAAUCGAUGCCGAAAUACGUUUAGAAAAGAGUAAAACCAUUUAAAUGGCAAAUUUUUGUGUAUUUUUUUACAAGGAACUCUUGAAUUAAUGGUAUUAUUGUUCAACAAAUAAUUAAAUACUGCAUUCUUCAAAUAUAUAAAUCACUUAAAUGAAUUGUUAUUAUAUCUUCACAUAAAUUACUGUUUUUACUCUCUCAACGAUAUUUUCUGCAUAUUAAAAAAUGUAAUUUUGAUUUAGAAUUUACUGAUGCAUUCAAUUACGACGAAAUAAAAAUUAGAAAGAAUGUUUUCAACAUUGUGUAGAAUGGGAAAA